GAUGAACGCUGGCGGCGUGCCUAAUACAUGCAAGUCGAGCGAACGGACGAGAAGCUUGCUUCUCUGAUGUUAGCGGCGGACGGGUGAGUCACACGUGGAUAACCUACCUCUACGACUGGGAUAACUUCGGGAAACCGGAGCUCAUACCGGAUAAUAUUUUGAACCGCGUGGUUCAAAAGUGAAAGACGGUCUUGCUGUCACUUAUAGCUGGAUCCGCGCUGCAUUAGCUAGUUGGUAAGGUAACGGCUUACCAAGGCACCGAUGCAUAGCCGACCUGAGAGGGUGAUCGGCCACACGGGAAGUGAGACAGGGUCCAGACUCCUACGGGAGGCAGCAGUAGGGAAUCUUCCGCAAUGGGCGAAAGCCUGACGGAGCAACGCCGCGUGAGUGAUGAAGGUCUUCGGAUCGUAAAACUCUGUUAUUAGGGAAGAACAUAUGUGUAAGUAACUGUGCACAUCUUGACGGUACCUAAACAGAAAGCCACGGCUAACUACGUG
rnacentral:rRNA from 1 species